rnacentral:rRNA from 1 species
UACGGGGGGAGCAAGCGUUGUUCGGAUUUACUGGGCGUAAAGGGCGCGUAGGCGGCCUCUGCAAGUCGACUGUGAAAUCUCCGGGCUUAACCCGGAAAGGUCAGCCGAUACUGCAGGGCUAGAGUGCAGAAGGGGCAACUGGAAUUCUCGGUGUAGCGGUGAAAUGCGUAGAUAUCGAGAGGAACACCUGCGGCGAAGGCGGGUUGCUGGGCUGACACUGACGCUGAUGCGCGAAAGCUAGGGGAGCGAACGGG